rnacentral:rRNA from 1 species
GACGAACGCUGGCGGCGUGCUUAACACAUGCAAGUCGAACGGAAAGGCCCUGCUUGCAGGGUGCUCGAGUGGCGAACGGGUGAGUAACACGUGGGUGAUCUGCCCCUUACUUUGGGAUAAGCCUGGGAAACUGGGUCUAAUACUGGAUAGGACCAUGCUGUAGGUGGUGUGGUGGAAAGAUUAGUUUCGGUAAGGGAUGAGCUCGCGGCCUAUCAGCUUGUUGGUGGGGUAAUGGCCUACCAAGGCGUCGACGGGUAGCCGGCCUGAGAGGGUGGACGGCCACAUUGGGACUGAGAUACGGCCCAGACUCCUACGGGAGGCAGCAGUGGGGAAUAUUGCACAAUGGGCGCAAGCCUGAUGCGGCGACGCCGCGUGGGGGAUGACGGCCUUCGGGUUGUAAACUCCUUUCAGCCAUGACGAAGCCCUUGUGGUGACGGUAGUGGUAGAAGAAGCACCGGCUAACUACGUG